rnacentral:lncRNA from 1 species
UAUAACAUAAAAUAAUCCCAGAAAAAUAAUUAAAAUGGCCUUAUUACAACCCAAAACCAAAUAAUAAUAUUAAUAAGAUAAAACUUAUAAAGAAAUAAAUCGGCUACUUAUUGCAAUUAAAAGAAACAGAAACAGUAGUGUGGCCAUCUCCGAGUCCUUCGCAGCUCCAAACCAUCUAAGCUUAGGGAUUACCUGCAUAGUUAGAAACGGGGUGAGUUUACGAAAACUCAGUGUGUAACCCCAAUAACAAACAAACAGUAAAUAACACGGUAUCAGUACAAUCUGGGCCAAAACCCUAUUUAGUCUUGACAUAUACUGGGCCGAAGCCUUUCCAUAAAUCAUAUCACUAGGCCGAAGCCUUUUCAUAAAUCAUAUCACUGGGCCGAAGCCUUUUCAUAUAUCAUAUCACUGGGCCGAAACCUUUUCAUAAAUCAUAUCACUGGGCCGAAGCCUUUUCAUAAAUCAUAUCACUAGGCCGAAGCCUUUACUGUAAACAGUAUGGCCCUUAGGCCCAUUUCAAUAUCACAUGUAAUGUCAAUGGAUGUAUGCAAGCCCAUUUCAAUAUCACAUGUAAUGUCAAUGAAUGUAUGCAAGCCCAUUUCAAUAUCACAUGUAAUUUCAAUGAAUGUAUGCAAGCCCAUCUGGGGAGACUACUCGACCCACCAUCCGCUACUCUCCACCCAUACCAACCAAGCUCUUCAUGUGGGGAAUAACUCAACCCACCCAACCAAACUCUCCACUGGCAGCAUAGCUGCUUUAUCAUAUAACUAGAGGCCUAGCCUCUUUUAAUAACUGGGGCAAAGCCCUUUUUGAUAAACUAGGGCAAAGCCCUUUUCGGUAAACUGGGGCAGAGCCCUUUUAGCACUUCUUCCAUCAAUAUAACCCAUAUCCCAUGCAAUAUGUCAUGUAUGCAGAAUGUCAUGCCCAUAUUUGAAUCAAACAAUCACAGUUAAGUCAUUCAUAUCACCAACAUAUAUUCACCAUCAAAUUCGUCAACCACACAGUCCAAGUCAGUCACUUGCCCACAAGGGCAAAACAAUCAUUUUUCAUAUUAUAAGGGUAUUUUCAUAAUUUUACCAAAAAUCAGGGUUUUCCAUGUUUAUUACAAUUUUCAAUAUUUCCGAGUGUUUAAACAAUGAUCUUUAACCCACUUAUCAAAUUCGGGCUUUUGGGCCCAAAACCCCUAAUGGGCCCUACGAAAGCUGAUUUAGCCCACUAAGCCUGCUUAACCCAAAUUUUACAACAAUACUGACCGUGUUAACAUGCAACUUUUCCAAAUUCUAUUUUCUAUCAAUUUUACCCAAAUGGGCCCAAAAGCCCAUUUGGCCCAAUUCCUGUCCAUUGAGGCCCAACUUACCAUCGUGCACAAAAUUGAGUUCUUACCCGUUCCAUCGAUCCAAACACUGAUCUUAUCAUAUUUAUCGUAUCUAUACCCACACGCAGCAUUACAAGUUCCCGAAAUGCCAGUAUUUUAGCAUUUCAGCUUCUCAGCAGAUAUUAAUCUAAGCUACUACGAGGGUUAGUACACACCUGUUAUAGGUUAAAGUUGAAACGUUUCCAUAAUCAAUCACCUACGAUAACCACCACCUGUAACUCAAACUUAACUAAUCCAAUAUCAAUAUAUGUAAAUCCUAAGCACAUCAGUCAUACGGAACAUAAGGGCAUAUUCUUUAUUUUACCAUACAAGGGUAUUACGGUCACUUUACCCUACAGGGGCUUUACGGUCUUUUUACCUACAAGGGUGUUCUGGUAAAUCUACAAACCAAGGGUAUUUCAGUAAUUUUGUAAACCAAUGGUAUUUUUAUAAUUUUUAAAAAGUCAAGGGUAUUUUUGUAAUUUUGUAAAUUAGUGGUAUUUUAGUAAUUUUACAAAUUGAGGGUAUUUCGGUAAUUUCACAAACCAGUGGUAUUUCGGUAAUUUUACAAACUAGGUGUAUUUUAGUAAUUUUACAAACUAGAGGUAUUUUGGUAAUUCUAUCCUACAGGGGUAUUUCAGUAAUUUCACAAUCGAGGGUAAAACGGUAAUUUUGUAAACUGAGGGUAAAAUGGUAAUUUUAUAAAUCAAGGGUAAAAUGGUAAUUCUAUAAAUCGAGGGUAAAAUGGUAAUUUUAUAAAUUGAGGAUAAAAUAGUAAUUUUGUAAAUCGAGGAUGAAACGGUAAUUUUGUAAAUCGAGGGUGAAACAGUAAUUCUAUAAAUCGAGGGUAAAAUGGUAAUUCUAUAAAUCGAGGGCAUUUCAAUAAUUUGGUAAACUAAAGUAUUCUAAACAAUGAUAACAAUACGAAUGGGCUAAAGCCUAUUCUCGGCCCAAAUGGGCCCACACGCUCGUGUGGCCCUUUUAGCCCAAAUCUAGCCACAAAUAUGAGAUUCACCUAGCCUAAUCCAAUAUUUACUACACAAUCAAACAACUUAUCCAAUUGGGCCCAUAGGCCCACAUGACCCCUUUCGGCCCAUCGGGCCCGAAGUAGCCAUCCUACAGCUAAAGUAGCUAGAAAUACACACCUGAUAGGAGACUGGAGUUAAUCCACGCUCCGAGCACUUUUAGCGACGCCCAACCCAAACGAGCACGCCAUACAGCGAAAGGG